CAUUUAAGUAGAGAUUAAUAGAACGGUUAGCGCUCAACCCAUUCUCAUUUUAUUUAUUUAUGCUUCCUAUAUGGCGCAUC
ensembl:ncRNA T01B6.6 ncRNA